UACGGAGGAUGCGAGCGUUAUCCGGAUUUAUUGGGUUUAAAGGGUGCGUAGGCGGUCCGUUAAGUCAGCGGUGAAAGUCUGUGGCUCAACCAUAGAAUUGCCGUUGAAACUGGGGGGCUUGAGUAUGUUUGAGGCAGGCGGAAUGCGUGGUGUAGCGGUGAAAUGCAUAGAUAUCACACAGAACACCGAUUGCGAAGGCAUCUGACGAAUCGGAGAUUGACGCUGAUGCACGAAAGCGUGGGUAUCGAACAGG
rnacentral:rRNA from 1 species